AGUCUCCUCUUGAAGAUUUCCAGGGUAGGCGAUUGCACCAGCCAAGAAACGGCUACCGCAUCCAAGGAAGGCAACACGCGCACAAAUUACCCACUCCCGACUCGGGGAGGUAGUGAUGAGAAAUAACAAUACAGGGCUCGUUCGAGGCCCUGUAAUUGGAAUGAGUACUUUUUAAUUCUCCACUUUCUUGAGCUAUGUGGUGAGGCAUUGCUGCUACUGUUGGAAGAGU
rnacentral:ncRNA from 1 species